GACGAACGCUGGCGGCGCGCUUAACACAUGCAAGUCGAGCGAGAACCUUCCUUCGGGAAGGGGAAAGCGGCGAACGGGUGAGUAACACGUGGGUAAUCAACCCUUGGUACCGGGAUAGCCCGAGGAAACUCGGAUUAAUACCGGAUGGCCCAACAGCUUUUCGGGGCGGUUGGGAAAGGUAGCUUCGGCCUCCGACCGAGGACGAGCCCGCGGCGGAUUAGCUUGUUGGUGGGGUAACGGCCUACCAAGGCGACGAUCCGUAGCUGGCUGAGAGGACGAUCAGCCACACUGGGACUGAGACACGGCCCAGACUCCUACGGGAGGCAGCAGUGGGGAAUCUUGCACAAUGGGCGAAAGCCUGAUGCAGCGACGCCGCGUGAGGGAAGAAGGCUUUC
rnacentral:rRNA from 1 species